rnacentral:lncRNA from 1 species
GUUUAAGCAUAUAACAUUUAUAUGAGACGGCUCAAACAAUAAUAUUUGCCCUUUAUAUUUAAACUUGAUUAGUUUAACAUGUGAAAUGUCCGUAAAGUAUCAUCAUAUGAUUGGCUUUAGGGCACAUUUCCAACACAAUGGCAGAUUCUUGAAGCGCUACUACCCCUAAACCGAACAAAUAAUGCUCCUCGCCUGCAUGAGCCUAAAAUGCACAUGGCACAAAGCUCCUCACCUGCACAAGCCUAAACUGCACAUGGCAAACUGAUGUGAUAUAAACUAGCACAAAAAUUAAACCCUAUUAAGAUAGAUGUAGUAUAGAUAAGUAGGGAUCGUUCUAGGUCUGGGACUAACUAGGGAUGCUAAUCAACACAAAAGAAACUCAAAAACACAAAACUAGACUCAAAAACAGAAAACUAGACUCAAACUUCUCAAAAUAGACUAAACUGACUUAAAACACACAAACUAAGUCAAAUUGACUCAAAAUAAGAACUAGAAUGUAAUUUGGACGAAAAUUAAAUUGAACUUGACUCAAGACAACGUUUAUGGACUAACUCUAACUUAUAUUGACUCAAAACACUCAAAAGAACCUAGUUUGGACAGAUUCUGACCUCAAAACGCUAAAUAGAAAAAGGGGUUUGUUUUUGACGAAUUUUAAGACUAGAACUAAACAAAUUUAAAGACUCUAAAUACUUUGGACGACAUUGGUGAUUUAAGGGGUGAAUGGCUAGUUAGAGGGUACAUGACACAUAUGCAUACAAAUCGAUUUCCAGUUAUUCCUUUCAAUAAACAAUGAAUGACAAUGCCCCAAAUUAAUCGUGAGAAGCACAAAUUAACUUUCAAAUUUUCCAAAUUUCAUUGAAUUGGACUCAGCGACACAACCAAAUUAUUUUUAUCAAGUUCCCUACAUGGACUGCAUAAUAAAGAUACAUAUCAAAGAUCAUUAAGUUCUAUGAAAAUCAUAAGCAUUGACAAGGCAUUCGUAACUAUGAGCUGCAUGAUACUCCUACCAAGAAUUCACUUAACACAAUCAUGACUAGUGACUUUUACUACUUGUGAAUAUAAGUUCAUAACGAUUAGGUGAAAUUCCCCUAUAUUCUAGCAUUAAAUCCCUGCAUGCAAACUAAGUAUGCAUCCUUAAUCAACACACAAGAAUAAGUUAUCAAUCAAACAGAGAAGUAAAUUGCAUUCACGAUUUAUGAAAUCAUAACUGGAUGUAAUCAAUUCAUAUCACAUAUAUGUUCAUGGCUUCGAAUUCUCCUCUAACUAAAAUGAAAUUAGUUCCACAUGUUCAUCAUAAUUGAAAACCAAAUUAAACUAAACAUUGGACUAAAACUAAGGAUAGAAUACACCUAGAAAUACUCCAGCACUCCAAUGGCUGAUUGGGCAUAAUCCUUGGGUGCUAGGGCACAGCACAAGCUCUCCUUCUCCUUGCAAGCACGUCACAAGCCUCCAAAUACCUUCAGAAACCUGUGGCACUCAUCUAUUUUCUGAUUUCUUAGGCUCUUAUGUGUGAGGUGCAAAUUAUGGUCAGAAAAUAUGUAUUUAUAGGCUAGGGUUUCAGCACAAAGUAGUGAAGGAGAAGGAUUACACAAUCCUAGAGGAAUAUGACUAGGAAAUUCAGCACAAAGCUUCUAGAAAGGGAUAUCUGGCAGAUUUCUAGAAGAGAAGGGAUUAAAUUCGUCAGAUUUCUAGGGGCAAAAGGGAUCAGGUUAUUUGCAUUGUUUCAGGGCUUAUAAAAUAAGAUAUUAGGUAUUCUAAUGUGAUAAGGAGUUCCCCUUGCAGCUAGAAUUAAGGUAGGAUAGGAUUAGGAUAGGAUAAGAUAAGAUAAGGUUAGUUUGGAUAAGAUAAGAUUGGAUAAUGUUUUAGAUAAUGUUCCUUCCUUUUAACUGAUUCCUUAUCUUCUUUGUCUUGAAUUCAUUUCUUCCAGAUCUUUAGCACAUUCCUAGUCUCUUGAACUUCAAAAACGUCCAUCAACCUUGCUCCAUGCAUGUGCUAUCCAUUCUUGGCCCAAAACUACUUCAAAAUGCUCCAAAUUGCACUUUCUUGCCAACUUUGUCAUUUCAACAUGAAAACACACGAAAAUAGCUUAAAACACUCUAAUAAGUAGAAACUAGCUAUGAAAAUGCAAGAAAAAAGCUAACUAAGUCGCAUAAAUAUGCUCCUAUCAGCAACAAUGCUCCUUGUUAGCAUGAUCUUAAAAGGCGACACGUAAUGCUCCUCGCUUGCAUAAGCCUAAACUGCAUGUUGCACAAGGCUUGUGCCUGCACGAGCCUAAACUGCACGUUGCACAAGGCGUGUGCCUGCACAAGCCUAAACUGCACACGGUAACAAUGCUCAUUGUUCGCAUGAGCUUAAAAGGCAACACCCAAUGCUCCUUGUUUGCACAAGCUUAAAAGGUGACACCCAACGCUCCUGGCCCGCAAGAACAUAAAUUAGGAAUGGCAAAACAAAACAAAAAAAUUCAAAAAAUCAAAAAUCAAAAUCAUCAUCAAAAUCAUCAUCAAAAUCACCAUCAAAAUCAUCAAAACUAUCAAAACCAAUCCAUCAUUCCUUGGAACUACAUCAAUGCUUGAUCCUUCCUCAACUGAGGGUAUGUAAGCAACUUGAAACUUCAAAACUUCAAGUAUAGUCACAUCAUCAACAAAAACACAAAUACUUUGAAGAAUAAAGAGCAAAUUCAAGAAUGUGAAAACUUUAUUUCUUUACUGGAAGAAUUCGGCUACAAAGCCGUAUUACAAAAAUGAGCAAAAAAACAAAGAAGGCUUAAAGUACAAAGAACGAAAGAUACUACUUGAAAGCUAUGUCCCUAAAACUACGACGACGAUCUUCAAGCAAGCCUUCCAAAGUUUUCAAAGUCUCCACAUUGGUGGGGGACAAGCUGGACACUUCCAUGGCCGCGCCUUUCUCUUGCUCUAGGCAUUAAAUGUCCUCUUGAUGCAGAGAAAGUAUAGCUUCCUGCUCCGAGAGAACACCUUGAAGUAGUGAUGCUUUGAUUUCCAAUUGUUCUUGCUCAUGAGGCAAUGCUUCUAGACGUGCUUGGACGGAAGCUAAAGAAGUCUCUGUGACUUGAUAACAUUCUGAAGCAGCUUGCUGAGAAGACCGAACUUGAGCAAUUGAUAAGCCUAUUGCCGCAAGUUGUUGAGCUCUAACCUCUGAACUCAACAUCUUUGAGGAAAUAGCAUGCAAGGAAGAAUACUCAGCAAAGAUGGCUUCUCCAGUUGUUGAGUUGUCUUUCGCAAGAAGAACAAGCACCUUAGGGCCAUUUAACGGUGCACAAAGCUUCAACGUCGUUUCCCUAUCUUACAAAUCACCUUUCUUCACAAGAAUGGUGAUGGUAUUGUUUUUAAAGCACUUGAAAAAUAUCAUGGCUGCAAGAAAACAAACAAGGCAACAUAAGCAUAAGAGUGGGGCUGCGAGAAGAAAAAAAUGGCUUCACUAAAGCAAAAGACAUGCGAGACAAACCUCGUGAGCGUUGAAGGAUGAUGAUGACAAAGUCACAAAAAUGAAAAGAAAUCAGCCACAAAGCUUAAGCAGCACAGCAAAUAAGGCAGCUACAAGACGGUCAUUCAAAGCACGCUACAAUGUCAAAGAAAAUCAAAAUGCUACGCAAUCUCACUACGCAACCUCGCAUCAAUUACGCAAGCAGUUUCUUGCACUGCACGACAAUGUCACCACUGAGGGAAAACUGCAACCAAAAGGCACUACACAGCAUAACACCGCUGCAGUAUUUUGCACAACACCACAAGGUAAAAAAUGACACACUACAACAAGCUUCAAGCAACUACAACUCAUGGCAGCAAGCAGCACACAUGGCAACAGCAAGAACAGUGCACACGGCAAGGAAUUGUUGUGACAAAAACACACACCCAAUUGUCCUAUAAAUAAGGGUCCAUUGCUUCCAAAUGCUAUAUUGAGAAUACAUACCAAAUAGCAAAAGGAAAAUCAAAAGAAGGAAACUCAUUCCAAUUGCAAGAAGGAAGCAAUUCCAAGCAAAAAAAAAAGGCAAGCUGAUUUCGGCAUAAAGAAAAAAAAAACAUGCUAUUUUUGCAACAAAAUCAGCAAAGAGAAGAAAAGGAAACAAAGAAAUUAGGAAAGGGCUUUAAAAUUUCUAAAAUAUCAAAGGAAAGUACAUUUCCUUGCCAAAAUACAAAAAUGAAUCCCUCCAAGGCAAGGACAAAUCUUCAAGUUUCCCAAACCAAGAGGGAAAACACCCCCUUGGCCGAAAAAAUGGAAAGGAAAAGGGAAAAAAAUGCAAAUCCUACUUUCCCAAGGACAAGCAUUAAAUCAUUCCAAAACCUUGAAGGAAAUCUCUAAAGCUUUCAACAUCUUGAAGGAAAUCACCCUCAUUACCAACAUUGAAGGAGACUCCUACCUAAGGGGGGAAAAGCAUUUUUCCCAUACCCUCAAGGAAAAUAUUCAAGUCCCAAAAUACACCAAAUGUAUUUUGUCAAAAACAAAUUAUGAAAAAUCAAUACGCACAAUAAGUAUGUGCCAAUUUAUCCAUUUUCAAAAUUUUCAUUCAGGAUCAAGCCUCUAUAGCCGUUGAAUUAAAUUUUCACUUCAUUCAAAAUCAAGCCUCUACGGCCCUUGAAGAAAAUUUUCAUUUCAUUCAAGACCAAGCCUCAAUGACCCUUGACAAAAUUCAUUAUUUCAAUUCAAGAAAUACGCCUUAACGGCCUUUAAAGAAAUGUUUCGUUCAAGAAAUACACCUCUACGGCCUUUGAAGAAGCAAACUAAUUCAAGAUCAAGUCUCGACCACCCUUGAGUAAGAACAUUCACAUUGUAGGACUUUACAACACGUUUCCUACAUGUGACAAGCACAUGCCUACAACGUGCCUCGAAGUGGGGGCAUUUGUUGACAUGUAAAUUUCGUUGCAUGCAAAUGAUGCAUCACAAAGCUCCACAUGGAAUAUGAUUCAUAACAAAUGGACAAGUCAUCAAUGACAUGUGGCACAAAUCAAGCAAAGGAAGCUCAAAACUUCACCAAAAUUCGGCCAAAAAGGGGAAUACCCCUUAAAAUCAGUAAAGGGUCCAAAAUGCUCCCAAAACUGGAAAGAAAGCUAAAGCAUCUUCACAAAACAAGCAAGAAUUGAAGAUUGCUUGCAAAUAGGUAAGAAAGCCCUAUAGAUUUCGGCCAAGUAAGGGAAAGUGGCUGAAAUUAAGACAUAAAGCAUGCCUAAAUUCUCCCAUGGACGAAUCUAGACACAAAUCAAAGCCAAAUCCAUCUAAAUGAAAACUUUGAGAAGUCUAUAAAUACAAGGUCCUCAUACAAGCAUAAAGGUCGACAAUUUCUACAUUCAAGGUCGACAAUUUCUACAUUCAAAGGGUCAACAAUUUCUACAUUAAAGGGUCGAAAUUUCUACAACUAGAAAAACCUCUGCCAAAUCUUUGAAGACUAAUACGCUGCCAAAGCUCUCUUCGAAGAACAUACAACCAAAGCCAAAGCUUUCUUUCGACCAAAGCCGAAGCAUUCCCUUGAGGAAUCAACAAGCACUUGUGCUGAUUCCUUCAAGACUUUGUUGCAAGCUUAAAACUUGUAACAAUUUUUUAUUGAAGAUCAAGUCGCGAAGAACCUUGAAUCAACAAAAUCAUACACCAACACUACCUUUGUCACAGGUCAUACACAAACCUAGAGGUGAAGACUAUCCAUGCAUUGUUUCAAGCUUAAAACUUGAAGCAAUCGUUCAAUCGUUCGUCUGAGAUCAAGUCAUUGCGACCCUUAGAUCAACAAUCUAUGCAUCUACAUCAAAUUUGAAGACUGAAUCAGAUGAAAAUUGUAAACAGAGAUUGUAACCUACAAAUUUAAAUCAAUACAAAUCUACUUUGUACACGUGUUCUCGUUUCAUUCGAUACAGAAUUUUCGUGUUUACAAUUGUAUUUCUACUUGGCUAGAUUCUUACUUAGUCGAGUUGGUGGUUGUAAAGUUACUUAUGUAGUAGAUAAAAAUGUUGUAGGCCUAAUUUACUGAACUAUAAUAAGGAAAAAUAAAGGGGGGGUGCGGAACAAUAAAGUGAAAAAGAAAGAUGUGUAAUUGUGAGGUGUGUGUUAUCUCACCCCAUUGUGCCUUUAUUUGUAGUAGUAAGGAAGGUAAAUUCCUUACCCCAAUAGGAUUACAAGUCUAAUAGGAUAAUAUAUAGUCUAAGAGAUAUGGUAGAAUCCCACAAGGAUAUCCCAUAUAUGAUAGGAUUUACACAAUUACAUUCAUAAUCUAAUAGGACUGCAACACUCCUCUUUAAGUGUGUAAAUACUCAAACAAAUGGUGCAUCAGGUCUUCAGUGAAGAAGUAAGUACAGUUGAUGAAGUUGUCGGCACAAUGAGUGAAUGCUAGUCUCAGAUCAACGGAAGAAUGCAUAAAAGGUAAAACUCACAAAACCUCGCUAUGGUAAAACCCAAGAUCGGAGAAAAACCCAUAGACUAAGGAGAAAAGUGAGAAGUUGCAUUAAGUCAAAACUAUAUGUCUUCUAGACGCAAGUAGAAGAGCUCAUAAGGGUAUGACCAGCCCAGGGUGCCUCGUCAAAACCUAGUUAGGUAGAAAAAACCCAGUGGGAAAAAAUGCUCCCAAUCGUAGGGUAAAAAGAGUACAUUAAGAUCAAGUAAGUAUACUUCUGGAUACUCCCCUUAAGUUUGACAGAACUUCCAAAGGAGAACUACAAACAUUGCAUAUGAAUAGUUAGGCAUACCAAUUCUUCGAACAAGCUUCUGGAAAGUUAACUUCGGCAGUGACGUUUUGUAAAAAUCGGCAAGGUUGUCUCGAAUCAGCUUGCAUGACUUUGAUCUCCUGAUGCUUUGCUGAUGUAAUGUAAACGCAAUAUGUCUUGGCGUUGAGUUCAUUAAUGUAUCAUGUCUUGGUCGGGUGGAUACAUGUGACAUAUUCUCAAUGGAUCAUCGUCGGGGCUCAAUGAUGAAUGAAAACAAUAGGUACUUUGAAUAUGCUCAACAAGAGCUCUCGAACAUGUGUCACGUGUGGUGCAGUGAAGUGAGGUGAGUCUUGGAACGGUUCGAAGAUUUUACAACUAAGGUCAUAUUGUGGAUCUCCAAGAUAUUGCGAUAUCCUUAACAGUGAAGACAUAACCAUUUUGGGGAUGUUCCUUAUGCGGAUGUGAUUAGUAACCAGCGUCAACAUAACAAACAAGGCAAGCAUCAUUCGGAUUAUCAAGGGGGUCAAAUCUGCUUGGGAUGCAUUGGGAUUAGCCCAAGUCCGUAAUACCUUCAAAAUAGUAGAAAAAUAUUUUUAAUACCAAUUCAGUGGUUGCAUGUAGGCGCGGUGCUGCAUCCUUACCAAUAGAUCAAUAGUGAAGGAGAUGUCAUGUCUAACGUAAUGAGCUAAGUACAACAAAGCACAAAGUUGAACUUAGAUAUGGAACUUCGGAUUCCAUAACCUCUUCAAGGGUAUAGAAGAUUAUAUGUAUACUCAAGGGUAACACCUUCGAGGUGUAGUUCGACUGGUAGACCAAAGUACCAUCAAAACAACGCUUCAACUUCAGGUCAUGGCAUAAAAUGAGUUUUCCCAAUAUCCUUCAUCUCAAAUUCAUCUUCAGGUGCGAGGCAAUUUUUUCAAGCUCUUCCAAAGUCUUACUGAGAUUCACGUCACCGACAUAAACUAUAACUCUAGCAAUUCGAAAUAAGACUUCAUAGUUUAACACACAAUGACAAUCAUUCAUAUCCCUGAAUGAUCAAAUAAUCACUUAGAAGGGUAUACCACAUCUGCCAGAUUGCUUCAAUCCGUAAGUGAACUCCUCAAACAAAUUGAGAGAGUGUUCUGUUGUUUGGAACUAUUUGAACCAGUCUAUGUAAUUCUUGAGGAACUUACGUGUAAAUCUCUGUAGCCAUAUCUCUAUGGAGAAACACUAACCACAUUUGUAAUGUUGCAGUCAAUUAUAUGACGUUUGAGGGAAACCUUUGAUAGAAGUAUAUUUAUGCGACUUAGUUAGCUUGUUUCUUGGCAUUUAUGUUGUUAGUUCAUAGUUAUUUUAGUAUUUCAAGCUAUUUUCGUGUGUUUGUAGGUCUAAAGGGUUAAUGUGGCAAAGAAGUGCAUUUUGGAGCAUUUUGGAGCAUUUUUUGGCAUGGAAUGGAUAGCAUAUGCUUGGAGCAAAGGAAUGGAUGAAAUUUGAAGUUUGUGCAUCAUCCUCUCCCUAUAAAUAACCAUUUUAGCACACUCAUUUCACCCAACACAUCCAUUCACCUACCACUACAUCCACUCAUUUCAACCACCCAACAACACUCACCCACUACACCCAUUACAUCCACUCAUUACCAAACACUCAUCCACUACACCCA